rnacentral:lncRNA from 1 species
CUAGAAGAUCGCUGUGGCUGUGCAGGCUUGAAUGGUUCUCUGUGUCCUGCUCUGAGAUCUGCUGUUGGGUGCAUUGAGGGGACCUCAGGAAGCUCUGAGAUUUAGACAUGGAUGCAGUGACUUUUGACGAUGUGCAUGUGAACUUCACUAAAGAAGAAUGGAAUUUGCUGGAUCCUUCCCAGAUGAAUCUCUACAAAGAUGUUAUGUUGGAGACCUACUGGAACCUUACUUCUAUAGGCUACAAAUGGGAAGACCAUCACAUUGAAGAAUCAUGUCAAAGUUCUCGAAGACAUACAAGAUUCACACUGCUCUGGUAUCAGACUACAGUGGGGCAUCAAGCCUCCACAGGACCAAGGGCCUCCUCUCCCACUGAUGCCAGAUGAAGCCAUCCUCUGCUACAUAUAGAGCUGGAGCCAUGGAUCUCUCCAUGCAUACUCUUUGAGGGAGCCAGAUUCCAUGACACGGAGACAUCUGUCCCUCCACCAAAAGAAGGUACAAAAUAUCACAGCACCUGCUGGAAUUCCAACUCAUGACCUUCGGGAGAACAGUUUGUGUCCUUGACGCUAAGCUACCUGUUCUCAGUUUUUACAUUUGACCUUUGGGCAUCAUGGUGCCCUGAGGGGACAAGAACAGGAUAGGGAAUCUGCGCAUGCUCACUCGCCGGAGGCGGGUUUAAGUCGUGUGUCAAGUAUUUUUCUUUUUGGAAGAAAUGAAGAUUUUACUUAAACUUUAGAAGAGAUGAGAAAUAAAACCCACGUUUUCCUGGGGAGCCACGAGCGUGCGCUGCGGCCCCCGCCGAACUCCUCCCCGUUCCUCGCGCCAAACUGUGGUGGAGGGCAGGAAGCAGAAACCGCGUCACAGCUUUUUAAAAGAUUAUUAUUAUUGAUAAUUAAUAAUGUUCAACCUCUGUCUCGCUGAAACCUGGAAAUAAAGUUUCUUCCUCGGUUCGUAAA